ACACUGGUAGUUCAGCAGUAGAAUCCUCACCUUCCAUGUGAGAGGCCUGGGUUUGAUACCAGCCAAUGCA
rnacentral:tRNA from 1 species